AGCCACCAAUGGGUCUUCAAUGUAGCGAGAAACUCCUGCACACGGAGGCGGCCUUACGCUGGCCCUUAAAAAAUAUGUAUACUAGUUCAGUGAUAAUUUACGUCAUACUAAACUCCGAAUUAUACACAACAUAGUUCGUUUCUGUGUGUGGUACAUUUUAGUGUUGUGUUUCUGUUGUGUCGUUGUUGUUCUCUUAUAUUUGAUUUGUUUCCCUCAGUUUUUGUUUGUAACCCGGAUUUGUUUUUUACCCAAUCGAUUUAUGAAUUUCGAACAGCGGUAUACUACUGUUGACUUUAUUUCGAAAUUUGAUAUAUGUAAUAAUAGAGACGAGAAUUCAAAUUUCAACAAAAUACAACGGUGUAUUAUCAAAUACAGAAAACACACAAACUACGUUAUUUAUAAUAAGCUGAAAUAUCAGACGUAGCUCGCAUAUAUGUGAUACAUCAAUUAUGUUAUGUUGAUUUAUUUUUAGAUUAACAGUAUCAUGGUCAACAGGAGAUAUUACAAUGCUAACCCUGUGUUAUUGCCUAUUUAAAAAACGUUGCAAGUGAACGUCUGAAAAAGCGAAUUUUCGACGCUUUUUACGUACAUUCUAUACAAUUCUGUAAUUGAUUGCAUCUCUAGAAGAAGAAUAAAUGCUUCAUAUGUCAUUUUUGGAUAUUCAUAUGCAGUUCAACUAGAUUUAAAUGCAAACAAUAUUCAUAAAAUUUCGUAAUACCGCCUAUGUACAAGGUAUUUAUAAUUAAUAUUUUAAGCUCGACGUUUCUUUAUAGGUUAAAACUGAAAUGGGAAAAAAACGUUGUUUGGAAAGUAACUUGAAUGCAUUUUAUGGUGCUGUCUGCUUGAAGUAGAUUCCCUUUUCAUUUGUAUUGAGACGCCGAAUGCAAGCGGAUUUUGAAAAUUGAACAUGAAGAAAAGAAGAAAAAAUUUAUCAAAAGAUCGAUUAGCAACUCGACUAUACAAGAUAAAAAACAUAAUCAAUUUACAGAGAAUUUGAUUAUCAACCACAAAUUCAAACCAACAUGUGGUCAAGAGAAAAAUAAGAAAAAUGUUAAUACGAAAUCCUGUAUAUAUCGAAAUAAAAGUGAUGAUCUGAAAUGUAUACUUCAUUAUACUAGGACAAUAAAAAAGUCAAACUCAUAAAUCGAAAACAAAUUGACAACACCAUGGCUGAAAAUGAAAAAGACAAACAGACAAACAAUAGUACACAUGACACAACAUAGAAAACUAAAGAAUAAGCAACACGAACCCCACCACAAAAAGGGGUGAUCUCAGGUGGUCCGUAAGGGUAUGUAGAUCCUGCUCCACAUGUGGCACCCGUGGAUUAUUAGGCCUAGUUUUAAUACCCAAAUUCGAUAAUCAAAACGUACCAUCAAUUGAAUAUUUUCAUAAUUUUCACAACAAAUUAAUCUUUCCGAUUUUCUUAUGAUUUUAGUUUAGUGUUUUUGGUAUGUAUAACCAAUUUUAUUUGCUAAUUGAAAAUUAAGCGGAAUAAAAUAAUUUAAGACAGCAGAGAAGAUAAUUCUGUUUUAAUUGGUUAUACUAACCGACUUAAAUAAAAGAGUUGAGCUAUUAUACUGUAAAUGUAUUAUGUCUCUAGUCUGGUCAAAGGGUCAGAGUGUCCUACUUAAUUAAACGAUGAAUUGUUGAAAUUAGAUUAACAUGUUUUCACGUGCAGAGAAAUUUCACUUCUGACCAAUGCAUGAUUGGAUAUCAUCUUUCUUAUUGGUCAGUGAUCUUGCGGGUCAGUACGAGUUCACGUGUAAGUGUAUUGUGGUCACUUCCUUUUAUCAUCAGCAUUUGAUGUGUUCACUUGUGAUUCUUAGCAAACAAUUUGUUCAAAAUUAUAUGUGAUUUUGUUUUUUGUUUUAUGGAUAAUUUUGGACUGGAGUGAUUUCAUUUUAGCUAUUUCAGGUAAAAUCGAACUAUACUUUUAUUUUUAAGCUAUUCUAUGCUUACAUUUUGAACAAACGUACAGUUAAAUUUUUUUUUUAACCAUUCUUCCAUUCGGAUAGAACUCACGAUUUAGAUUUAUGCCAAACAUGAGCAGUUGGUCAAAUUCAUUUCUUUGUCAAAGAGAUAGUGGGUCAAAUUGAUUUUCAUGUGGGUGGCGACACUGUGCGUUUGCGAUCAAAAUGUAAUUAUUUAUCAUUUAUCUGAUGAUUAACCUGAUGUUGUAAUUUUACAGUUACUGAAUCCUUCACAGCAUCAUUAUGUUUGCAGAACGUAUAUCCGCCUUAUGUAUUUGUAAGAUACAUGAUUCGUUUAAAUUUAACUACAAUUAAAAAUUGGAUUAUUGCAUAACAAUAAUAAUACCAUACAUCAUGAUAGAAUGCAAAGUUAUACAUUUAUAAUUUAUACGAUGUUAUUACGGUUCCAUACAUUUUAAGUACUCUUAUAUGAAAGAGCAAGACAGUUUAAGUUAAUGCUAGCUAUUUGUUUACAAACCCAUUUGCCUUACUUGUUUGGGUAAGGUUGCGAUAUUUCAAUUGGUGCAGUGAACUUGACUGCUUGUACGUAUGACCUCUGUGUAUGUGCUUUUUCAAUUACGUUUUAUGCAGAGUUCAUUGUUUUAUGCUAUGUGACGAAACUCAUGCUACUUUCGUAAAUCUCGUCACGGCAGUUUGGUUAAGCUAUUAUAAUUUUGCAAGUUAGCCUAAUCGCUAUAAUUGUUAGUAUUUUAAUUUAUGCAAGUGUACCUUGUUUUGCUUUAUGUAAUCGGUAUAAAAAGAUAUGUCUCUUACCUAUAUCGCAACCCAAUGCUUAUUUAUUACGAACCAAUUUACCUGUCUUUGCCUGUUUGGGUAAUGUGGACGAUAUUUAAAUUUCGCAGAGGCGUGGUUGCUUGUACUUAUGUCCUCUGUGUAUUAUUUUCUCAGAGGUUGUGGUAGCUUGGUCUAUGACCUCUGUGUAUUUACUUUUGCAAAUAUUGUAGUAUGUAGUGGUAUUGUUUUAUGCUUCGUCAUGAAACUCAUGCUGCUUUGGUUUUGCAGAGGUCGUAGUAGCUUUGUCUAUGAUUCUGCAUGUUUUAUGCUUCGUCAUGAAACUCAUGCUACUCUUUCAGAGGUCGUAGAGCUGGUCUAUGGCCUCUGUGUAUUUGCUUUUGUAAGUUAAUAUGUAGUGGUUUUGUUUAUGCUCGUCAUGAAAACGCAUGUAUAUUUUGCAGAGGUCGUAGUAGCUGGUCUAUGAUCUCUGUAUUGUUUUAUGCUUCGUCAUAAACUCAUGCUAAACUACUUUUAAUUAUUUUUCUCAGGGGAUUGGUUUGAAUAAAUUAAUUUUGUAUCAAUUCUUUAGUCCAUACAAAAUUGCCAGUUUUUGAGACAUGUAGCCAAUUUACAUGUUUGUCAGUUUGUAAUACAUGUUUUUAAUGUAUUAUUUUAUUUAUCUUUACUAGUAUAAAUUCAUGUAAUGAUAUAUUUGGGAUGCGAUGAACGUAAUUGAUAAUUUUAUGCCGAUACUUAUGCACUGAAGUCGUUUGCUUUUUCUAUAUACUAGAUUUAUUAAUAAAACAACACUGAACAAGACAUACAUAAAUAUAUAUAUACUGAUGAUAUUUUAAAAUUCAUACUCUUCAUUUAAUACAUGAUAUAUGAAAAUCCUUUCUGUUUAAUGGUUGAUUAUUAAGAAGAGAAACUAUGAUAUUUAAUUAUCGCAUAUUAUUCCUUAACAUUCGUUAUGUUUGUGGUUUGAGUAAGCAAGUUUGAAAUUUAAUUUCAUUCCAUUAUUUUAUAUUUUUUUUUGUUUAUCAUGCCUUAACUAGACAAAGAGCAGAAUGUAUUCACUACGAAAAACUUUUCCAUUGAAGGACAUGUGCAAUAAAGCGUGAUAUCAACAACUUACAAUAUUUAUUUGUCAGCGGUAUGCCAAUCCGAUAAUACAAACAUACGAAUAUUGAUGGGUUGCUGUUUCACUGACAUUAAUGACACAUACCUAAUUUAGAUUAGAAUUUUGAUCAGAAGUGCGAGUCGUAUCAACAUUGACUAACCAAAGCCUAAUUUUACUGUUUUAUAAAUACAAAUUUACAAAAUACGACUUCGAUCAGCAUUUUGAUACACAACUGGACCUAGUUACAAUGAAAGCUCAAAGCACCUAUUAUUCCACCAUCUCUUUAAAGUUGACUAUGUCGUUAAUUGUCCAGGACUCUCGUUACUUAUACAGCACUUAGUUUUAGAGGAAGGAAAAUAAAAACAAACAAGACUUCUGCCGCAGUUCAUGGAUGAAUGGUCCUAUUAGUAUUCGUGAUUCAAGGAUUGAAGUCAAAUACGUUUAACUUUAACAGCUAAAAAGAAUAAAUUUAGUAUCAAAACUGUAUACUUCAGCUGUUGCGGGCAGUAAUUACAACUGUCUGCACCAAAAUUACAUUAUGCCAAAAUUUUAUUUCAAACCAUCACAACUGUCUUGUUUUGGGCAGCAUUGCCUGCCAAACGUUUUAUUAUCUUUAUUUCAUAAAUUACAACUGUCUUGUUUUGGUCAGCAUUGCCGGCAAAAACGUUUUUACUUAUUUCUUUAUUUACAACUGUCUUGUUUUGCUCAGCAAUGCCUGCCAAAACAUUUUAUAUUUUUUUUCAAUAAUUACAACGUCUGUUUUGGGUCAGCAUUGGCUGCCAAAACGGUUUUUAUCCUUAUUUCACAUAAUUUCAACCGUAUCUUGUUUGGGUCAGUAUAGCCUGCUAAAACGUUUGUGAUCUUUAUUUAAUACGAUGUGUGUCUUUAUUGCAGCCCUCCUGCCGAUGCUGUCUUUACACAUUGUUGGGGUGUCAAUGGGAUCAUUCGAUAGGCUACCUUAAAAUUAUUUUUUAAUUUCAUGGCUCGGUUUAACUUCCUGUAUGUAUACAUGAAAAGUUCGUAAAUCAUGUUAUGGUUUUUAAUGUUGCCUAUCUAAUUCAUAAUAAGUAUUCAUAUUAUAUAAAAAGACUUUGAUGGUUUAUUCCAAUGUUGUUUAAAUGCUAUGGUCUUUAGAGGUAAAUCCAUCACAAACCAAAGUUUUUAUAUUUAAUUAAACUGGUUAUUAACUAAAUUGGAUUUUUCUUUUGGUUAAAAAAUAUAUAUGAAACAUCACUUAAAGCUGGAUUAUUAUAUUUUUCAUUUAACAACUUUAUUUACUACCAUACAAUAUAAACCUUUUUAAAUGUAUUGCAUUGGAAUAAAAGUUUGUUAAAAUAAGUUCUGUAGCAUGCCAGGUAGAAAUGAAUUUAUUUUAUGUAAGUUUUGAAGUAAGUUUGGUGUAUUCCCCCUUUUUUAUAGUGAUAUUAUCGAUAGAAAUUAUUACUAUUAAUAUUGAUGGUGAUGUUCACCAGUAUAAAAUUUCUAAAAAGUGUAUUUAAAAUUUGACAAAAACUUUUCUUUUACCUAUCAUGAGUUACGAAAAAUUAUUCUAUAUCUCAUAUCAAUUCGGAUCACAACAAAAUAACUGAGAGUAAAAAAAGGGUUACACUAAAUACUAUUUACUAAUUUCAAUUUAAAAACUUUUACCCUAUGGAAUUCACCCCCCACAUUAUGUAUGUAUGUGCCUGUCCCAAGUUAGGAGCCUGUAGUUCAGUGGUUGUCGUUUGUUUUGUUACAUUUAAGUUUUUCGUUCAAUUUUUUUUUUUUUUUAUAAAUGCCGUUAGUUUUCUCGUUUGAAUUGUUUACAUGGUCAUUUUGGGGCCUUUUAUAGCUGACUAUGCAAUAGGCUUUGCUCAUUGUUAAAGGCCGUGCGAUGACCUAUAGUCGUUAAUUUCCGUGUCAUUUUGGCUCUUGUGGUGAACUGUCUCAUUGGCAUCAUACCAUCUUCUUUUUUAUAUUAUACAUUCGAUUGAAAAAUGUCAAGUGUAGUUGAAUCCUUUGCUCAUGAUCCCUUACAGAAAUAGUAGAUAAAAACUUCGUAUUAGGGGAUCCAGGGCUUCGUAAAAAAUUACUUUAGUUUUGUUUGAAUUUUCACUGCCGGAAUAAGAUUUACACCUUUAAUCAUUGUUACCAGUAAUAUACGAACUUUUAAUAUUUCUGCUAAAUGUGGAAACGUUUUACAUAAUAAAGUGAUAUGUGUUUGGUGUACAUGUAUGUGAAUGUAUUUUUUUUUUCAAGUCAUUUAUAAUUGUAUUCACGUCGCCAGAGUCCUCGGGUGGGGGAUCCGCUCUUUCAGCCUUAGAGUGGAUUUCAGAUCCACUCUUUCAGCAAAGAGUGGAUUUGUGGCAGAUUUUCUCCCCACCUUUGCAUAUCUUUGUCAUUUAUUCAAUUGACAUGAUAUUAGUUGAUGAAUUUCGUUAAUAUGUAUUAUUAUUUCAUAUUAAAUAUGAACUUUUAUGCAAAUGUUUUAUUUGCAAAAUGAUUUUUGCAUUAUGAUUUUGAAUAAAUGACCUUUUUGCUCAGUUUAGUUUUUAUAUCAUAUAGCAAAUCAAGCUAAGACUCUGGCAUGUAUACAUAGGUGGUAUGUAUCUAGCUGUCUUCUUAAAACCAAUUUUAUUUGCUAAUUGAAAAUUAAGCGGAAUAAAAUAAUUUAAGACAGCAGAGAAGAUAAUUCUGUUUUAAUUGUUAAUACUGUAUUUUAGUUUAGUGUUUUUGGUAUGUAUAUAUUUCUUAAAUGUUAAUACUGUAUUUUUUUCACCAGUUACCAUAUAGAAAUAAUUCAUUGUGACAACUCUCAGCUAGACUUAUAAGAAAGAAACUAUAUGCCUUAAAAAAUGAGUAACAAAUACCGUUUAGCACGCUAUAAAAGGUUCACUAAAUUAAAUAUGCAGAACUAUUCAAAAGAGAAAACUAACGCUGAUUUAUGUACAGUACAAUAAAUGGAAAACAAAUAUGCAGUACAGCUACAAACUGCAAUUCGGGCUCCUGACUUGGGUCAGGCACAUACAUCUUGUAGCAGGAUAAAACAUUUUUCCGCGAUCCGAAUCCUCUUUUGGACAGUUAUGAAACAACAGAACAUAAGAACAAAUAUUCACCAUUAUAGAUAAUCUUAACCAAAAAAAUAUAAUAAAUUUUGUGUCCUCAAUUUCGUACUUGAUUUGGUCUUUUUUCAUUGAUGAGGCUUGUAUAUAAUCAAAACAAGCAGUCGGCGUACACAAUUAAAAGCCUGGUAUCUUAUGAUUUGGUUAGGUGUUUUUUUUAUUAUUGUAUCGGUACUGAUAUCGGCAGCGAAACCUGAACUGUUUGUUUACGGAAUUUAACGAAAACAAACUCACAACCGGAACUAUAUCGAUUUAGAAUAUUUUAUAUUUUAAUGUGAAAGUUUUAUUUACGACAUAUAAAUGGAAGGUAGAGUCGGACAUACCUUCUUAUAUUUAUAUCAUUUCAGGUCAGUUAAGAUCCAGCUAUGUAUCAAAAACUCUGUGGCAUCUGUAACCUUGAUA
rnacentral:lncRNA from 1 species